UAAUUGAUGAGAUUUGAUCCUGGCUCAGGUGACGAACGCUGGGCCGGCGUGCUUAACACAAUGCAAGUCGAGAGCGAUGAAGCUCCUUCGGGAGUGGAAUUAGGCCGGGCGGGACGGGUGAGUAACUACGGUGAGGUAACCUGCUCAUGAGAUGGGAAUAGCCUUUCGAAAGGAAGAUUAAUACCGCAUAAGAUUGUAGUGCCGCAUGGUAUAGCAAUUAAAGGAGUAAUCCGCUAUGAGAUGGACCCGCGUCGCAUUAGCUAGUUGGUGAGGUAACGGCUCACCAAGGCGACGAUGCGUAGCCGACCUGAGAGGGUGAUCGGCCACAUUGGGACUGAGACACGGCC
rnacentral:rRNA from 1 species